rnacentral:lncRNA from 1 species
GUCCUGCCUAGGGCAGCACAAAACCAGGAUACACCACUGACUAGGCAGAACAAUUAAAGCAUAUAACAAGUCAUGAUAACUGCCCAUUACUAUGUGUUUUGGAUCCAACUCCUGAUAAUGUAUAUGUAUGUAUGCUUAAAAGAUUGUUAAUUCGAGCUAACGCCAGUACGCCUAAUAGUGGUUUUGUUACUACAUUUCCAUAAAGCUGUAUAUGUAAAGAAACCAACAUCAAGUUUAUCAUAAAUAUACCACAUCAAGUUUAUUAUAAAUAUACCAAAUCUGUACACCAGUGAGAAGGUUCUAUCUGAUUGAAGCGGAAGAUAAGAUGAUUGGUUCAAAUAAUCAUGGAUGGAGGUGUGAAAGAAGGGAGAUGAUUUAGCUAAACAUGUCAUCUCCUGUUACUACAUUUCUCAACAAAUGGGUUUUUAAUUCUAAAAUCAAAUCACUCUAAUAGAAAUAUACUUUAAAAAGGAAAAAUGAAGCAUAAAUAGGAGUUAGUGUUGAUAAUAAGUCCACAAAAUUCAAGUUAGCUGGUAAAAAUGGUAAACAUUUAGAUAAAAAUUAACAAUCAAUUUUGAUAUUUGCUACUAUAAAAAAAUUCUGGGAGUGUCAUCAUUAUUAAUAAUGAUAUUAAUAAAUUAAUAGGUUAUUUUGAAUCAGUACUAUCAUUAAUCUAGCUGAUGGUAAACAGUUUGCAGAGCUACUGACACUAUUUAACAUAUUCUGAUUUAAUUUCUUUGAAUCCGAAAUUAUUCCAAUGUGUUAAAAAAAUAUUUUCGAAUGAUUUAUCUACACAAGUGACUAUUGAAGUCUGGUAAUUUUUGUAAAUAAAUAAUUUGAUGUUUUUUUACGUUUUUUUAAAGUUAUAACUAACAUUUUGGAAUCAUUUCUGAUGCUGAUUAACACAAACUAAAUGAGACCUAUAUGUCACAGUUCAAUAAUUGCAUUUGCAUCUGUGUACACAUGUUUUUUUGCACCUGAAUUGAAUUGAACCUAUUAUCGAGGGGAAAGACAUAAACACAUGCAAAAAAAUAUAAAAAAUAUCAUGUUGACUUUGACUAAAUGGGGUCUGUUCAAUAAACCAUCAUUUAUGCUAACUUCACUCUUGAAAGAUUUGUCGGGCAUCCAUAGUGAGCUGUAACAAUCUUGCUUUUGGCAAUCAAACUCACCAUAGGAGAACUUGUUUUGUUCGGAGGUAAGACUACAGAGUGAUAAAAAACACAUUUUAAUGCUGUGAAACAGAACACAAUAAUUAAAUUAUGCACAACUAACGAAGCAUGGACUAGUAGAACUCUUAAAAAGAGACUUGACGUAGCGUAUGCCAAGUUCUACCCAACCUGAGCGAUAUUGUGGCCAAGUAACUGAAUGCUCAGUGAACAAUUUUCUUAAUUCGUUAAAGACUAUGGCUGACCUUUAUCCAGUACGUGUUUGUACUCAGCUUGUGUUCAAACACAUUGACUGCCACAUCUUUCAAAACGGUGGUUUCCAACCAAGUCUCUCAUGCACAUCAACAGUCAAGAAUUUAGGUGUUUCCAUUUCUAUCCCAGUGGGUAUUUCCAAUUCUUUCAAAGUCUAUAUUUUUAAUUCUGUUCCAUUGGAAUGCUGCUGUGCCUCGUGACUUGAUUAGAAACCACAUCUCUGAAAUGCUCCAGGAAUAUGACCAUAAAAAGGGAGUUUUGAAACUUUCGACCCAAAUAUACGUAGUUUUUACCCAUUGUGACUGUAGAUUUCAAAAGUAAGCUGUCUCCUCGGAUGCAGUCAAAACAGAAUAUUUGCAUUUUACUACUUACAUAAACACUGCAUAAUAUUAUUUGGUGCUCAGCUGUUACAUAAGAUGAAGAUAUAAAAAUCUAAGUAGACACUGCAAUAAAAAAAAAUCUCAUCUUAUGCACGGAAUCAUUGCGAUCUCAUCCCAACUGCAGUAAUAGUGAUGCUUUUGAAAUGAUUCCCUGUGACAGUCUAGUGAAUAUGCUUGCUCAAAGUGUUGCUUAGCUAUUAGAAUCUAUAUCUAUCAUAAGCUUAUUGAUCAAUUAAAAUGGAUUGAUUCUCUAUUUCCUCUCAACUUAUACUGUGACAAAGAAACCUGUCUAUUGAGAUAAAGAAAGGUAACGUGUUGUGGGUAAUGAAUUUGUGUUUAUUGGGUGUCAAUGUUACGUCUUAAUAAUAAACUAUCACAAUGGAUAGGCUAGCAUGUCUAAUACGCCAAAUGUAGACAUACCAUACAUAACAUAAUAUAUAAAAAAAAACAUAUCUGUCUAGAAUGCCAGCAUACCGGGUGGUAUUUAUUACUAGAAAUCAUUAUGUAUAUGUUUAAAAUGAUGGUGCCAAUUUUACAAAACCAUGUAUGUGAGCUAUAAAGUGCUUGUAAUUUAUUUCGCAAGUAACUACUGUAUUAAUGACAACAAAAACGAAAAACAUUGUUUCUAAACAAUUUGUGAAUAUUUGUUCUUUUUUUAUGUCGUUGCUGCUUCUAAUAAAUACAAUAGAGAAUGUAUUGUUUUAUUUUGACGUAAACUGAUCAUGUUUUUUUUCAUAAAAUGUACAAUUUGCUUAAUUUAGCUUUGUAUCUGUAAAAAAAAUGUAAUUUAUUUUUAAAAAAAAUCAAAAAUUUAAAUAUGAUGCUUGUUUUUUUUUUGUUUUUUUCCAGUUAAUCUUAUGUUAUACUGGUGUUUAUUGUGUCGG